GAUUUACUGAUGGAAGUACAUGACUGGGAACUGGACUUUGGAGGUUCUAUCUGCCUCUGGUUCUAGUCCCUUAUGUCAGGUCUACCUCACAACAAGGAAUGUAGCGAAUGCAGUAACUCUAGCUCAAGGAUUUGGGUCUCAGACUAAAGAAAACCUGCCAAUGCGAAAUGAUUCUCAUCCGCUGAAGAUUCUGAGUAAGUCUGGUUGGAAACCUAGGUAGGUGUCCAAUGCCCGACCUGCACAACCCCAGCUACGGAUGUGGACCAACACAGAACUGUGACCUUAGCUGAAAUCUGACUUUUGUUUGUUUCUGUAGCUCCGUUGCAUGAUUCCCCAGCGUGAGCCUUGCAGAUGACAGUGUUGUGUUGCAGUGACACAAAGGUAUUAAAACUACCUCAACCCUGGGCUCGGAGCUGCAGGCCAACAGAGGGAAGCAGAGGCCUUUGCUUGGUGACUGAGAGACAUUGCAGAUGCUUCUGGCAGAUGUCUGGGAACAGAGGCUUUCAGAGAGAUGCUGGGUGCUCAGAGAGUGCUGACGCGGGGAAGCCUCUGAAGAAAC
rnacentral:lncRNA from 1 species